UUAAAACUUUGCUUACCCUUCACAAUUGAAAUAAAUUUGACCAAGAUGAUAUUUUCAGAUGAGAAAUGUGAAUUAUUUUGUUUAUUAAUGAAGAAAUCCCAUAUACCUUAAACUAUUACAUUCCAGAACUCAAAAUGGUGGCUACUCUUAGUAACAGAGAGACAAGAUUGAUAAAGGAGUAGGUCUGGUAAGGGCCGAUUUUGGCCUCAAAAUUCAGGUUCAUCUGACGAAAGAUUUCCUACACUUUUUAAACUCUUAAGUGUCUAUUUCAAUUGAUUUGAUUAGUUUUUGUGAAAGUUUUUAACUGAUUUAGCCAUUAAAAACGCUCCGAUUCAAGCUUAAAUAUGAAAAAUCGAGCAAAUAUGCCAAAAAACGUCACUUUUCAGAUGGUUUUUGUCAAAAAUGAAAGUGGCC
rnacentral:lncRNA from 1 species